rnacentral:lncRNA from 1 species
AAUUUUGAAUCAACUUCCUAAUUAUCCAAAUCCAAUCCAGGUAAUCUCUUCUUCUUUUCUUAACUUCCAUCGUUUUUUCAAUCUUUUUUAUUUGUAUAAUUUUUCAGUGUUUUCAAUUUUUUCAUUGUUUCAUGGUCAAAAUCUUGAAUCCGUUCGGUUCCAUCGUUCUAAUCAUGGAGGAACAAUCUCCACCAUUUUCGUUGGGAUUAACUCAAGAUUUUGAAGGAAUUGUAAGUUUCAUUGCCAAAUCUAAAGCCAUUGAUUCAAAUAUAGGAGAGAAGGGACUAGAUUUAAGUUUCGCAAUAACCUCAUCAUGAUGCAACAAAUCUGUGUUAAAAGCUCCAAAGAAAAAAAAAAGAGGAGAGGAAAAAGAGUUAAUGAUUCCGACUUGGUGAUUCUUGGAAAAAAAAAGUAUAAAAAACGUCUUCUAGAAGCAAAAGAUUUUGAAGUAUAGCCUUGUUUUAGUUUUUCUCGAUUUGUAUAUGUAUGAUUUAAGUUGUAUAUGAGAUAAUAAAUUGGUUGUACUUUUAGUUAAUUGUACAUGCUACAUAAUUAAUAACAAACGAGAGGAAGAUAAUGUUGAGGUAUUUUUCUUUUUUCUUUUUAUGUUAUUUGUAUACGUAUAUUUAAGUUAAAUAGGU